GUAGCCGAGUGAUUAAGGCGAUGGACUGCUAAUCCAUUGGGGUUUCCCUGCGUUGGUUCGAAUCCCAUC
rnacentral:tRNA from 1 species